GGGGGGAGGCCGGAUCCUGGGCUGUGUCCCGGCGCCCUGUGCUCCGGGGCCUGCGCUGUUGGAUUCGCGCUCCCGCCCCGCAGCCUCCU
rnacentral:pre_miRNA from 1 species